AUGCCGGUGCUGUCGCGUACAACACUGAUGAGCAGGUUAUGCGAAAUGGGUCGUUGGAAGCGUGUUCUGAAGCUGUUGACAGACAUGAUCAAGAGAGGUGUGACGCCAAACACGAGGGCCUUCAACAUUGCCAUUCGUGCUCUUUGCUCCGGUGGGAAGUUAUCCAUAGCCAGGGGCGUGGUCCGUAACCCAGGGGUUUCUGCAAACGUCGUGACGUAUAAUACGCUCAUUUAUUAUUGGUUUCACUACUGUCGAGAUCUUCAUGAGGUUUGGCGCCUAAUUUCCGACAUGGCGGCAGAGAAGAUUGCUCCAGAUGAAGUUACCUGCACUACAAUCGUCCAUGGGUUAUGCAGAGAUGGAAAGUACGAUACGGCCACCAGAAACUACUUUCUACAAUCGCUUGAGAUUGUACUGUCAGGGGAUCAUCUUGACGUCCUUACAAACAUGCUUGCUCGCAAAGGCAGAAUCUGA
rnacentral:rRNA from 1 species